CAGUGCGGUUUGGCAAAGAGUCCCGGUCCGAUCAGGCGCAGCAAGUCUCCUGAGUCGACCAACGGGACCGGCUCCAGCAGCCAGAUCUCCACCCCGAUGAAACAUUCCCCCACCUCCAGCCCCACCAGUCCAGGGCUCAUCAACAAACCGAAGGAUCUUGACCUGCCCUUAUCCCUGGAGGAUGAAGAUUCUCUCGGUGAAUCGAUGUAGACUACUGCAGCCAGCCUCCUUUACG